rnacentral:rRNA from 1 species
AUUGAACGCUGGCGGCAUGCCUUACACAUGCAAGUCGAACGGCAGCACGGGAGCAAUCCUGGUGGCGAGUGGCGAACGGGUGAGUAAUAUAUCGGAACGUGCCCAGUCGUGGGGAUAACGUAGCGAAAGCUACGCUAAUACCGCAUACGAUCUAUGGAUGAAAGCGGGGGAUCGCAAGACCUCGCGCGAUUGGAGCGGCCGAUAUCAGAUUAGGUAGUUGGUGAGGUAAAGGCUCACCAAGCCGACGAUCUGUAGCUGGUCUGAGAGGACGACCAGCCACACUGGGACUGAGACACGGCCCAGACUCCUACGGGAGGCAGCAGUGGGGAAUUUUGGACAAUGGCGCAAGCCUGAUCCAGCAAUGCCGCGUGCGUGAUGAAGGCCUUAGGGUUGUAAAGCUCUUUUACCCGAGAUGAUAAUGACAGUAUCGGGAGAAUAAGCACCGGCUAACUACGUGCCAGCAGCCG